rnacentral:rRNA from 1 species
GUUGUGGUUAAAAAGCUCGUAGUUGGAUCUCGGCGGACUGAGGGCGGUUUGCUUGCUAGUAUUACUGCCCUAUAGUCCGUAGUUUUGCCAGAGGUUUCGGGGUGCUCUUAAUCGAGUGUCCCGGGAUGCUGGCAGGUUUACUUUGAAAAAAUUAGAGUGCUCAAAGCAGGCUAUUACGCCUGAAUAUUCGUGCAUGGAAUAAUAGAAUAGGAAGUCGUUUCUAUUUUGUUGGUUUUCGGAAAUCGACUUAAUGAUUAAUAGGGACAGUCGGGGGCAUUUGUAUUCAAACGACAGAGGUGAAAUUCUUGGACCGUUUGAAGACAGACUACUGCGAAAGCAUUUGCCAAGAAUGUUUUCAUUAAUCAAGAACGAAAGUUAAAGGUUCGAAGGCGAUUAGAUACCGCCCUAGUUUUAACCAUAAACGAUGCCAGCUAGCGAUCUGCGGACGUUUUUUUUGUCGACUCCGCAGGAAGCUUCCGGGAAACCAAAGCAUUUGGGUUCCAGGGGAAGUAUGGUUGCAAAGCUGAAACUUAAAGGAAUUGACGGAAGGGCACCACCAGGAGUGGAGCCUGUGGCUUAAUUUGACU